UAUAUCACAUUCCGUGCCUUUCUUUGGGAUGCAGCGCACUACAGACAAGGACACCAGAAUGCGAGAACAAGAGCACAUACGCUGAUCGACACGGCGAAGACACGCAGUUCAUCGCAGCCGUGACAGAUGGCGCCACUGUUCCGGGGCAGUCGAAUUGACAUGUUUUGAGUGACGUCACCACAGAGGACACCUGCAUCAGAUUUACUGUGGACCUAACCGGAGUUCUCGAGCCGUUUUCCGUCUGCGUCCUGGCGCCACCAGACGUCCUCCCAUUGCCAGCUGAAGCAGGUGUGCAUGGAGUUGGAUCCUCGAGCCAGUCUCCCGUGUUAGUCCCGGCGCCGCCAGACCAUCGAGCUCUCCAACCCCAACCCAACCCGAGAGGACUGGGAGGCGGCCCUGCUCCGCUGCCUGGACCUUCCUGCCCAACAGGCCAUGGUCCGGAGUGUCAGGACAGCGGCCACGACCAAUGGGGUCCCUGAAUAGAGACUCCACCUAGUAUUGUAGGGAGCUGGCCCACUAAGGGCUGGUUUUCAGAACAACCUCUCUGUAAAUAAUACUUUAAUAAAUGUUUACCACCACCAC